rnacentral:lncRNA from 1 species
AAAGCAGUCAGCUCUUCAUUUUGCAGAGCUGUCUGGCCAGAUAUAGUAAUUGUGAGUGUACUCAUAAAGCUUUCCUAUAAAAUGCAUUAAAAUUGUCUUAGUUUAUGUACUCUCACUCCCAGUUCUGCUACAAUGAAACAAAUCUAUUACUUUCUACGAGGCAAUAAGUGCAUGAAAGCAAACUGAAAAUCCCCCGAAACUUGGCGUAUUUUCAGAGGGAUUACUUGGAUGUCAC